CCCGAACGAUCACCGAAGUUAAGCAUUGUCGAGCCUGGUCAGUACCUAGAUAGGUGACCGCAUGGGAAUACCAGGUGCUGUAAG
rnacentral:rRNA from 1 species